rnacentral:rRNA from 2 species
UUUGCAGAGAUGCGAAUGUGCCUUCGGGAACUGUGAGACAGGUGCUGCAUGGCUGUCGUCAGCUCGUGUUGUGAAAUGUUGGGUUAAGUCCCGCAACGAGCGCAACCCUUAUCCUUUGUUGCCAGCGGUCCGGCCGGGAACUCAAAGGAGACUGCCAGUGAUAAACUGGAGGAAGGUGGGGAUGACGUCAAGUCAUCAUGGCCCUUACGACCAGGGCUACACACGUGCUACAAUGGCGCAUACAAAGAGAAGCGACCUCGCGAGAGCAAGCGGACCUCAUAAAGUGCGUCGUAGUCCGGACUGGAGUCUGCAACUCGACUCCAUGAAGUCGGAAUCGCUAGUAAUCGUGGAUCAGAAUGCCACGGUGAAUACGUUCCCGGGCCUUGUACACACCGCCCGUCACACCAUGGGAGUGGGUUGCAAAAGAAGUAGGUAGCUUAACCUUCGGGAGGGCGCUUACCACUUUGUGAUUCAUGACUGGGGUGAAGUCGUAACAAGGUAACCGUAGGGGAACCUGCGGUUGGA